GAGAGUGUAGCUCAGUGGUAGAGUGCAUGCUUAACAUGCACGAGGUCCUGGGCUCAAACCCCAGUAUUGCCU
rnacentral:tRNA from 1 species